GACGAACCGUGCGAACGUUAUUCGGAAUCACUGGGCUUAAAGCGCGUGUAGGCGGUCCGUUAAGUCGGCUGUGAAAGUCCAAGGCUCAACCUUGGGAUGCCGGUCGAUACUGCCGGACUAGAGUUCGGAAGAGGCGAGUGGAAUUCCCGGUGUAGCGGUGAAAUGCGCAGAUAUCGGGAGGAACACCUAUGGCGAAGGCAGCUCGCUGGGACGUUACUGACGCUGAGACGCGAAAGCGUGGGGAGCAAACAGG
rnacentral:rRNA from 1 species